GUAGGGUGCGAGCGUUGUCCGGAAUCACUGGGCGUAAAGAGCUCGUAGGUGGUNUGUCGCGUCGUCUGUGAAAUUCCGGGGCUUAACUUCGGGCGUGCAGGCGAUACGGGCAUAACUUGAGUGCUGUAGGGGUAACUGGAAUUCCUGGUGUAGCGGUGAAAUGCGCAGAUAUCAGGAGGAACACCGAUGGCGAAGGCAGGUUACUGGGCAGUUACUGACGCUGAGGAGCGAAAGCAUGGGUAGCAAACAGGAUUAGAUACCCUGGUAGUCCAUGCCGUAAACGGUGGGCGCUAGGUGUAGGGGGCUUCCACGUCUUCUGUGCCGUAGCUAACGCAUUAAGCGCCCCGCCUGGGGAGU
rnacentral:rRNA from 1 species